rnacentral:rRNA from 1 species
UACGGAGGGUGCAAGCAUUGAUCGGAAUUACUGGGCGUAAAGGGCGCGUAGGCGGCUAGAAAAGUCGGAUGUGAAAUUCCAGGGCUCAACCCUGGAGCUGCAUUUGAAACUCUCUGGCUAGAGUAUAGUUAGGGUAAACGGAAUUCCACGUGUAGCGGUGAAAUGCGUAGAUAUGUGGAAGAACACCGGUGGUGAAGACGGUUUACUGGGCUGUAACUGACGCUGAGGCGCGAAAGCAUGGGGAGCAAACAGG